rnacentral:rRNA from 1 species
GGAAAAGAAACCAACAGGGAUUGCCCUAGUAACGGCGAGUGAAGCGGCAACAGCUCAAAUUUGAAAGCUGGCUCUCGGGCCCGCAUUGUAAUUUGCAGAGGAUGCUUCUGGCGACGCGCCUUCCGAGUUCCCUGGAACGGGACGCCAUAGAGGGUGAGAGCCCCGUCCGGUCGUGCGCCUAGCCUCUGUGAAGCUCCUUCGACGAGUCGAGUAGUUUGGGAAUGCUGCUCAAAAUGGGAGGUAUACGUCUUCUAAAGCUAAAUACCGGCCAGAGACCGAUAGCGCACAAGUAGAGUGAUCGAAAGAUGAAAAGCACUUUGAAAAGAGAGUUAAAAAGUACGUGAAAUUGUUGAAAGGGAAGCGCUCAUGACCAGACUUGGGCUGGCCCGAUCAUCCGGCGUUCUCGCCGGUGCACUCGGGCCGCCCAGGCCAGCAUCAGCUUUCGCCGGGGGAUAAAGGCGGCGGGAAUGUGGCUCCCUCGGGAGUGUUAUAGCCCGCCGUGCAAUACCCUGGUGGGGGCUGAGGUUCGCGCGUAUGCACGGAUGCUGGCGUAAUGGUUAUCAGCGACCGG